AACGAACGCUGGCGGCAUGCCUAACACAUGCAAGUCGAACGAGACCUUCGGGUCUAGUGGCGCACGGGUGCGUAACGCGUGGGAACCUGCCCUUAGGUUCGGAAUAACUCCCCGAAAGGGGUGCUAAUACCGGAUAAUGUCUUCGGACCAAAGAUUUAUCGCCUUUGGAUGGGCCCGCGUUUGAUUAGCUAGUUGGUAGGGUAAAAGCCUACCAAGGCGACGAUCCAGAGCUGGUCUGAGAGGAUGAUCAGCCACACUGGGACUGAGACACGGCCCAGACUCCUACGGGAGGCAGCAGUGGGGAAUAUUGGACAAUGGGCGAGAGUCUGAGCCAGCAAUGCCGCGUGAGUGAUGAAGGCCUUAGUGUUGUAAAGCUCUUUUACCCGGGAUGAUAAUGACAGUACCGGGAGAAUAAGCUCCGGCUAACUCCGUG
rnacentral:rRNA from 1 species